AUUGAACGCUGGCGGCAGGCCUAACACAUGCAAGUCGAGCGGAGCGGAGGACGGGUGAGUAAUGCCUAGGAAUCUGCCUGGUAGUGGGGGAUAACGUCCGGAAACGGGCGCUAAUACCGCAUACUAUCAGAUGAGCCUAGGUCGGAUUAGCUCUUUGUGUGGGUAAAGGCCUACCAAGGCGACGAUCCGUAACUGGUCUGAGUGGAUGAUCAGUCACACUGGAACUGAGAAACGGUCAAGACUCAUACGGGAGGCAGCAGUGGGGAAUAGUGGAAAAUGGGCGAAAGACUGAUCAAGCAAUGCCGCGUGUGUGAAGAAGGUCUUCGGAUUGUAAAGAACUUUAAGUUGGGAGGAGUGAGAAAAAGAAUAAGCACCGGCUAACUUCGUGCCAGCAGACGCGGUAAUAG
rnacentral:rRNA from 1 species